AUGAGAUCAUAUACUUCUUUAAUUUUAAGGUUACCAAUUCCGAAUCAUCACAAUUUUUCGAAAAAUAAAUAAAACUAAAUCAAAGAAAAGAAAAUACAUGUAUUUAUAUAUAUUUAUAUUUAUAUAUAUAUUUUCUCCUGCUGCUUGUGGUUGGGAUGAAAAAGAAGCCAUUUUUAAUAUUGAAAAACAAUACCAUCAUCUUCCUGAAUUUCCGGGCCGGUCUGAACCGGGUCCACGUCAUCACCUUCUUCACCCUGAAAAAUGAGUUCUUGAUUUUGUCAGCGAAGCUCUGUUUUCUGGAGAACUGGUAGCUUCUCAGAAACAACUGCCUUUUCUCCAUCUGCUCUGUGUAAUUACUACCCAUGUAUAAUUUGAUUGCCAUUUUUCUGCGAUCUAUACGUACAGCAUCUAUAUGUAUGUAUAUUGUGAUUUGUG
rnacentral:lncRNA from 1 species